GCUCAUUGCUAUAAGGAUGCUCUUCAGCAUAGCCUAAUAAAUAUUUUGGUCUCUCUAUUCUGAUGUUACUAAGGAGAAAAACUACUUCCUGCAGAAUCUUACUCCCCUAUCUACUCAUAUAGAUCCAGGUGAUGUAAAGAUCAUGGAUGUAACAAGUAAAAUGAUGAUCAGAGAAACUGCUUCCAUGGGGAACUGGAAGAGAAAAAACUUCCCCAGUGAAAAAAGGGUUACCCAGAGAUGUCAUGUACUUCCUCUCAUACUGUGUAUUUGCCAAGCUGUACAGACACAGAAAGGCAAUGAUAAUAGUAGGUCUAUGUAUAAAAAAAAAAAAAAAAAAAAAAAAGGACUUAAGUUUGUAAACACAAGGAGAAAGCAAUUUGUGAAUAUCAGAAGGACCUUCCAUAGUAUGGUUUUGAAAAACUAUUAAUCAUACCUUGUGUACUUACUAGAUCUUUUCAUACUAGCAUUGAAAACUGAAGAAUACAGAAGGAAGAUUAUGAAGAUGGGAUAGUGGGGGUCUUUAAUAUGUACAUUCUUUUUACUUAUUUACUUGUAUUCUAAGAUACAAUAUUAUUCUUCUGAGUAGAUAGUGAAAAUCUAUACUUCAGUACAUAGCUAACCAUAUGCAUUUGUACCUUUCUCUGC
ensembl:lncRNA